rnacentral:rRNA from 1 species
CCCUACGGGGUGCAGCAUGCGCGAAAACUUUACAAUGCUGGAAACAGCGAUAAGGGGACCUCGAGUGCCAGGUUACAAAUCUGGCUGUCGCGAUGCCUAAAAAGCAUUGCAUAGCAAGGGCCGGGCAAGACCGGUGCCAGCCGCCGCGGUAACACCGGCGGCUCGAGUGGUAACCGUUAUUAUUGGGUCUAAAGGGUCUGUAGCCGGCCGGGUAAGUCUCUUGGGAAAUCCAGCAGCUCAACUGUUGGGCUUUCAGGAGAUACUGCCUGGCUCGAGGCCGGGAGAGGUGAGAGGUACUUCAGGGGUAGGGGUGAAAUCUUGUAAUCCUUGAAGGACCACCAGUGGCGAAGGCGCCUCAUCAGAACGGACCUGACGGCAAGGGACGAAAGCUAGGGGCACGGACCGGAUUAGAUACCCGGGUAGUCCUAGCCGUAAACGAUACUCGCUAGGUGUCGGCCACGGUGCGACCGUGGUCGGUGCCGUAGGGAAGCCGUGAAGCGAGCCACCUGGGAAGUACGGCCGCAAGGCUGAAACUUAAAGGAAUUGGCGGGGGAGCAC